AGAGUUUGAUCCUGGCUCAGGAUGAACGCUAGCGGGAGGCUUAACACAUGCAAGUCGAGGGGUAACAGGGGUAGCAAUACCUGCUGACGACCGGCGUACGGGUGAGUAACGCGUAUGCAACCUGCCCUAUACAGGAGGAUAGCCCGGAGAAAUUCGGAUUAAUACUCCAUGUAGCAUUUUUUUCGCAUGAAUUAGAUGUUAAAGAUUUAUCGGUAUAGGAUGGGCAUGCGUCCCAUUAGCUAGUUGGUGAGGUAACGGCUCACCAAGGCAUCGAUGGGUAUGGGGUCUUAAAGGAUGGUCCCACACACUGGCACUGAGACACGGGCCAGACUCCUACGGGAGGCAGCAGUGAGGAAUAUUGGUCAAUGGGUGAGAGCCUGAACCAGCCAUCCCGCGUGCAGGAUGACGGUCCUAGUGAUUGUAAACUGCUUUUCUAUGAGAUGAAUAAGAAUUACGUGUAGUUCGAUGACCGUAUUAUAGGAAUAAGCAUCGGCUAACUCCGUGCCAGCAGCCGCGGUAAUACGGAGGAUGCAAGCGUUAUCCGGAUUUAUUAGGUUUAAAGGGUGCGUAGGUGGGCGUUUAAGUCAGUGGUUAAAGCCAUUAGCUUAACUAAUGUAUGCCAUUGAUACUGGAUGUCUUGAAUGUGGUAGAGGUAGGCGGAAUGUGUUGUGUAGCGGUGAAAUGCUUAGAUAUAACACAGAACACCGAUUGCGUAGGCAGCUUACUAUUCCAUUAUUGACGCUGAUGCACGAAAGCGUGGGGAUCAAACAGGAUUAGAUACCCUGGUAGUCCACGCUGUAAACUAUGAUCACUCGUUUUUGGCGAUAUAUAGUCAGAGACUGAGCGAAAGCAUUAAGUGAUCCACCUGGGGAGUACGUUCGCAAGAAUGAAACUCAAAGGAAUUGACGGGGGCCCGCACAAGCGGAGGAACAUGUG
rnacentral:rRNA from 1 species